rnacentral:rRNA from 1 species
UACGUAGGGUCCGAGCGUUGUCCGGAAUUAUUGGGCGUAAAGGGCUCGUAGGCGGUUUGUCGCGUCGGGAGUGAAAACACCAGGCUUAACUUGGUGCUUGCUUUCGAUACGGGCAGACUUGAGGCAUGCAGGGGAGAACGGAAUUCCUGGUGUAGCGGUGAAAUGCGCAGAUAUCAGGAGGAACACCGGUGGCGAAGGCGGGUCUCUGGGCCGAUACUGACGCUGAGGAGCGAAAGCGUGGGGAGCGAACAGG